rnacentral:rRNA from 1 species
GACGAACGCUGGCGGCGUGCUUAACACAUGCAAGUCGAACGGAAAGGCCAGCAUCUUGGUGGGGGUGCUCGAGUGGCGGACGGGUGAGUAACACGUGGGUGAUCUGCCUUGUACUUCGGGAUAAGCUCGGGAAACUGGGUCUAAUACCGGAUAGGAUCAUGGAUCAGUGUCUUCAGGAGGAAAGGAUAGUGUUUUGGUGAAGGAUGAGCUGGCGGCCUAUCAGCUUGUUGGUGGGGUAAUGGCCUACAAAGGAGUCCAAGGGUAGCCGGCCGGAGAGGGUGGACGGCGGAAUUGGGACAGGGUCACGGCCCAGACGCGUAGGAGAGGCAGCAGUGGGUAAGAAUGCACAGUGGGCGCGAGGCUGAAGCAGCGACUCCGCGUGGGAGAUGACGGCCUCCGGGUUCUAUGCUCCUAGCGUUAGGGACGAGGCCACGCAUUUAUGGAGUGGUGACGGUACCUUUGUUAGGAAGCACCGGCUAACUACGUG